rnacentral:miRNA from 1 species
UCACAGCUUUGCUUUCAGGAGCG